AUGCAAGUCGAGCGAGAAAGCCCGCAAGGGUGAGUAAAGCGGCGCACGGGUGAGUAACACGUGGGUAAUCUGCCCUGGAGUCCGGAAUAACCCGCCGAAAGGCGUGCUAAUGCCGGAUAAGACCACGGGAGCUUCGGCCUCCGCGGGAAAAGGUGGCCUCUGUACACAAGCUAUCACUCCAGGAUGAGCCCGCGGCCCAUCAGCUAGUUGGCGGGGUAACGGCCCACCAAGGCUACGACGGGUAGCUGGUCUGAGAGGACGAUCAGCCACACUGGAACUGAGACACGGUCCAGACUCCUACGGGAGGCAGCAGUGGGGAAUCUUGCGCAAUGGGCGAAAGCCUGACGCAGCAACGCCGCGUGUGUGAUGAAGGUCUUCGGAUCGUAAAGCACUGUCGCGAGGGACGAAUAAGGGCCGGGCGAACAACCCAGUCCGAUGACGGUACCUCGAGAGGAAGCACCGGCUAACUCUGUGCCAGCAGCCGCGGUAAUACAGAGGGUGCAAGCGUUGUUCGGAAUUAUUGGGCGUAAAGCGCGUGUAGGCAGGCCCAGCAAGUCAGGUGUGAAAGCCCUCGGCUUAACCGAGGAAGUGCGCCUGAAACUACUGAGCUUGAGUACCGGAGAGGACAGCGGAAUUCCCGGUGUAGAGGUGAAAUUCGUAGAUAUCGGGAGGAACACCAGCGGCGAAGGCAGGCCAUCUGGACAGGUCACUGACGCUGAGACGCGAAAGCGUGGGGAGCAAACAGGAUUAGAUACACUGGUAGUCCACGCUGUAAACGAUGAGCGCUAGGUGUUGUGGGUGUUGACCCCCGCAGUGCCGCAGCUAACGCAU
rnacentral:rRNA from 1 species